rnacentral:rRNA from 1 species
AAAUUGAAGAGUUUGAUCAUGGCUCAGAUUGAACGCUGGCGGCAGGCCUAACACAUGCAAGUCGAACGGUAGCACAGAGAGCUUGCUCUCGGGUGACGAGUGGCGGACGGGUGAGUAAUGUCUGGGAAACUGCCUGAUGGAGGGGGAUAACUACUGGAAACGGUAGCUAAUACCGCAUAACGUCGCAAGACCAAAGAGGGGGACCUUCGGGCCUCUUGCCAUCAGAUGUGCCCAGAUGGGAUUAGCUAGUAGGUGGGGUAAUGGCUCACCUAGGCGACGAUCCCUAGCUGGUCUGAGAGGAUGACCAGCCACACUGGAACUGAGACACGGUCCAGACUCCUACGGGAGGCAGCAGUGGGGAAUAUUGCACAAUGGGCGCAAGCCUGAUGCAGCCAUGCCGCGUGUAUGAAGAAGGCCUUCGGGUUGUAAAGUACUUUCAGCGGGGAGGAAGGUGUUGCGGUUAAUAACCGCAGCAAUUGACGUUACCCGCAGAAGAAGCACCGGCUAACUCCGUGCCAGCAGCCGCGGUAAUACGGAGGGUGCAAGCGUUAAUCGGAAUUACUGGGCGUAAAGCGCACGCAGGCGGUCUGUCAAGUCGGAUGUGAAAUCCCCGGGCUCAACCUGGGAACUGCAUUCGAAACUGGCAGGCUAGAGUCUUGUAGAGGGGGGUAGAAUUCCAGGUGUAGCGGUGAAAUGCGUAGAGAUCUGGAGGAAUACCGGUGGCGAAGGCGGCCCCCUGGACAAAGACUGACGCUCAGGUGCGAAAGCGUGGGGAGCAAACAGGAUUAGAUACCCUGGUAGUCCACGCCGUAAACGAUGUCGACUUGGAGGUUGUGCCCUUGAGGCGUGGCUUCCGGAGCUAACGCGUUAAGUCGACCGCCUGGGGAGUACGGCCGCAAGGUUAAAACUCAAAUGAAUUGACGGGGGCCCGCACAAGCGGUGGAGCAUGUGGUUUAAUUCGAUGCAACGCGAAGAACCUUACCUACUCUUGACAUCCAGAGAACUUAGCAGAGAUGCUUUGGUGCCUUCGGGAACUCUGAGACAGGUGCUGCAUGGCUGUCGUCAGCUCGUGUUGUGAAAUGUUGGGUUAAGUCCCGCAACGAGCGCAACCCUUAUCCUUUGUUGCCAGCGGUCCGGCCGGGAACUCAAAGGAGACUGCCAGUGAUAAACUGGAGGAAGGUGGGGAUGACGUCAAGUCAUCAUGGCCCUUACGAGUAGGGCUACACACGUGCUACAAUGGCGCAUACAAAGAGAAGCGAACUCGCGAGAGCAAGCGGACCUCAUAAAGUGCGUCGUAGUCCGGAUUGGAGUCUGCAACUCGACUCCAUGAAGUCGGAAUCGCUAGUAAUCGUAGAUCAGAAUGCUACGGUGAAUACGUUCCCGGGCCUUGUACACACCGCCCGUCACACCAUGGGAGUGGGUUGCAAAAGAAGUAGGUAGCUUAACCUUCGGGAGGGCGCUUACCACUUUGUGAUUCAUGACUGGGGUGAAGUCGUAACAAGGUAACCGUAGGGGAACCUGCGGUUGGAUCACCUCCUUA